rnacentral:pre_miRNA from 1 species
CUACUACUCCCUCCGUCCCAAAAUUCUUGUCUUAGAUUUGUCUAAAUACGGAUAUAUCAAGUCACGUUUUAGUAUUAGGUACAUCUGUAUCUAGACAAAUCUAAGACAAUAAUUUUGAGACGGAUGGAGUACAUU